GGAUGUAGGGUGAUCUGGCUGUGACAUUUGUCCCACAGUGAUCACUAGGGUUGAUUUGGCUGACCUGGUUGGCUAGAUGGGUGUUCCCUUCUUCCUUCACCGCUCCAUAUGUGUCCCUCCUGAAGCUAUGAGGUUGAUCAAAGAGGAUGACCACACCUGAUAGAGGAGGACCAUUUCCUAAGUCAAGGGUAUACAAAUAGCUGUGCUCCCCUGCUAGACCCUUCAAAUGAGCUCCUAAGCUUAGUAGCGUAUAUACUCUCUUAAUAUGGAAGAUGGAAGUGAGAGAUGUAGACCAUUUUUAGAAGAGUGUAUGAAUUU
ensembl:misc_RNA 7SK 7SK RNA